GAGGAAGAUGAAGGAAGAAGAGGCUUGGAGAAGGUUGGUGCAGAACGAAGUAGCAGCACGCUGGACGUCUUCAGGGAAAUGCUUGAGACAGGAACAUUUAAAUUUCGUGUACCAGUAUUAAGAAGUGCGCAUUUGUGCAUAUUAAAUAAGUUUAGUCUGUAUAUGUAGCUAGCUAGGUCGCUCUUCUGUUUUUAGUAUGAUUCUGAAACGAGGUUUCGUCCAGUAACGUUAGCUGAAGUUGUAUCUCUGCACAUGGAGGUCCAUGUCCGGUAAUUAGAUCAUCUGAAGAAAAGGGACUCCUCAGAUGGACCUCAGAUGCAUGGUCGACCUGCUGAGGUGAAAGCGAGUUCAGGUGAUUCUUGACACAACUACUUCUACAAAGUGCACCUGACUGGUUUGUUUUGGCUUCUAUUUAAGUUAUUCAUCAUCAAAUAAAUACAAAUUGUGAAG